CAGCGCCACGGUAAUACGGAGGGUGCAAGCGUUAUCCGGAUUUAUUGGGUUUAAAGGGUCCGUAGGCGGAUCUGUAAGUCAGUGGUGAAAUCUCACAGCUUAACUGUGAAACUGCCAUUGAUACUGCAGGUCUUGAGUAAAUUUGAAGUGGCUGGAAUAAGUAGUGUAGCGGUGAAAUGCAUAGAUAUUACUUAGAACACCAAUUGCGAAGGCAGGUCACUAAGAUUUAACUGACGCUGAUGGACGAAAGCGUGGGGAGCGAACAGGAUUAGAUACCCCUGUGGUCCCUGUCUCUUAUACA
rnacentral:rRNA from 1 species